rnacentral:rRNA from 1 species
UGCAGCAAGUAAGUUACCUGUUUUUUCCACAUGCCCGAUUUCGUCUGAUCUUGGAAGCUAAGCAGGGUUGGGCCUGGUUAGUACUUGGAUGGGAGACCUCUUGGGAAUUACAGGUGCUGUAG